AACGAACGCUGGCGGCAGGCCUAACACAUGCAAGUCGAGCGCGCCCUUCGGGGUGAGCGGCGGACGGGUGAGUAACGCGUGGGAACGUGCCCUUCUCUGCGGAAUAGCCUCGGGAAACUGAGAGUAAUACCGCAUACGCCCUUUGGGGGAAAGAUUUAUCGGAGAAGGAUCGGCCCGCGUUGGAUUAGGUAGUUGGGGGGGUAAUGGCUCACCAAGCCGAGGAUCCAUAGCUGGUUUGAGAGGAUGAUCAGCCACACUGGGACUGAGACACGGCCCAGACUCCUACGGGAGGCAGCAGUGGGGAAUCUUAGACAAUGGGGGCAACCCUGAUCUAGCCAUGCCGCGUGAGUGAUGAAGGCCUUAGGGUUGUAAAGCUCUUUCAGCUGGGAAGAUAAUGACGGUACCAGCAGAAGAAGCCCCGGCUAACUCCGUGCCAGCCGCCGCAGUAACAC
rnacentral:rRNA from 1 species